rnacentral:rRNA from 1 species
UACGGGGGGGGCAAGCGUUGUUCGGAUUUACUGGGCGUAAAGGGCGCGUAGGCGGUCAGCACAAGUCAGUUGUGAAAUCUCCGGGCUUAACUCGGAAAGGUCAACUGAUACUGUGCGACUAGAGUGCAGAAGGGGCAACUGGAAUUCUCGGUGUAGCGGUGAAAUGCGUAGAUAUCGAGAGGAACACCUGCGGCGAAGGCGGGUUGCUGGGCUGAUACUGACGCUGAUGCGCGAAGGCCAGGGGAGCGAACGGG